AAACUGGUAUGUAAACACUUUGUAAGUUGAACGAUUUCACAACUUUAGUGCAGUAUCACCUCUGCAGACAAUGGAAUUUUCACUACACUGGGUGCAGUCACCAUCAUAGCAACAAAGAGUUGCAUUGAGAACUUUUGGUCAGCAUUAGCUUGUGGUCGAAGAGUACAUAUGUGACAAGUCGUCUCUUCACACUGUCAGGAGAUUGUAAAGUUUGCCGCACAUAGGAAGUACUUGCACUAACUGAAUCAGGGAACCAUCCAGGAUUUCUAGGAGAGUUGUCUUUCUUUGACCUUUUCUUGCCUUGGUGCCAUGGGGUAUGACCAAGUUAAACUGGAUCAGUAAUAGCUCAACUUGGACUAAAUGUAUAAACUUUGGACAUCCUUAUAUUUAUAAUCAAGUGUUGAUAAUAUCUUCUUUGAUGUACAUUUUUUCCUUUGAUGCAAUAUGUGGUGUGGUUUUGCAGAGACCGCCUUCAGAGGCAACUCUGAAUUAACAGUGUUUUCUAAGCAGUAUUCAAUUGAGACAAUUAUUUUUUUAUUAGGGGUCCAGAUAAAGAUUACGGUAUCAAAAUCUAUGAAAAUAUGUUACUUUAUACUUUAAUGAGUGUUUAAUUUAACAACGAAGCAUAUUUGUUUUUUUUUUUUUUUAAAGAAUUUUUGUUGUCAAAAUGUGAUAUAUUUUUUAAUAAAUAUUUUUCUUACAGAA